GUUGGGCAUGGUGAUGCAUGCCUGUAAUCUCAACAGCUCCGGAGGCUGAGGCAGGAGGAUCGUGAAUUCAAAGCCAGCUUCAGCAACUUAGUGAGAUCUUGUCUCAA
rnacentral:sRNA from 1 species